UCGAACGGGGGUGAGGGGGCAACUUCUCAUUCAGUGGCGAACGGGUGAGUAAUGCAUCGGAACGUAUCCGCAAGUGGGGGACAACCCGGCGAAAGCCGGGCUAAUACCGCAUAUUGCUCGCAAGAGGAAAGUGGGGGACCUGAGAGGGCCUCACGCUUACGGGGCGGUCGAUGUCCGAUUAGCUAGUUGGUGGGGUAAAGGCUUACCAAGGCAACGAUCGGUAGCUGGUCUGAGAGGAUGAUCAGCCACACUGGGACUGAGACACGGCCCAGACUCCUACGGGAGGCAGCAGUGGGGAAUUUUGGACAAUGGGGGCAACCCUGAUCCAGCCAUGCCGCGUGCGGGAAGAAGGCCUUCGGGUUGUAAACCGCUUUUAGCCGGGAAGAAAAGGCACGGGACAAUACCCCGUGUUCUUGACGGUACCGGCGGAAUAAGCACCGGCUAACUACGUGCCAGCAGCCGCGGUAAUACGUAGGGUGCGAGCGUUAAUCGGAAUUACUGGGCGUAAAGCGUGCGCAGGCGGUUCGUUAAGUUCGUUGUGAAAGCCCCGGGCUCAACCUGGGAAUGGCAAUGGAAACUGGCGGGCUCGAGUGCGGCAGAGGGGGGUGGAAUUCCACGUGUAGCAGU
rnacentral:rRNA from 1 species